rnacentral:rRNA from 1 species
UCCUGGCUCAGAACGAACGCUGGCGGCAUGCCUAACACAUGCAAGUCGAACGAAGUCUUCGGACUUAGUGGCGCACGGGUGCGUAACGCGUGGGAAUCUGCCCUUGGGUGCGGAAUAACUUCUCGAAAGGGAUGCUAAUACCGCAUAAUGUCGUAAGACCAAAGAUUUAUCGCCCAAGGAUGAGCCCGCGUAAGAUUAGCUAGUUGGUGGGGUAAAAGCCUACCAAGGCGACGAUCUUUAGCUGGUCUGAGAGGAUGAUCAGCCACACUGGGACUGAGACACGGCCCAGACUCCUACGGGAGGCAGCAGGUGGGAAUAUUGGACAAUGGGCGAAAGCCUGAUCCAGCAAUGCCGCGUGAGUGAUGAAGGCCCUAGGGUUGUAAAGCUCUUUUACCAGGGAUGAUAAUGACAGUACCUGGAGAAUAAGCUCCGGCUAACUCCGUG